UACGUAGGUGGCGAGCGUUGUCCGGAAUUAUUGGGCGUAAAGAGCUCGUAGGCGGUUUGUCGCGUCUGCUGUGAAAACCCGAGGCUCAACCUCGGGCCUGCAGUGGGUACGGGCAGACUAGAGUGCGGUAGGGGAGAUUGGAAUUCCUGGUGUAGCGGUGGAAUGCGCAGAUAUCAGGAGGAACACCGAUGGCGAAGGCAGAUCUCUGGGCCGUAACUGACGCUGAGGAGCGAAAGCAUGGGGAGCGAACAGG
rnacentral:rRNA from 1 species